rnacentral:rRNA from 1 species
GAGUUUGAUCGUGGCUCAGGACGAACGCUGGCGGCGUGCCUAAUACAUGCAAGUCGAGCGGAUCUUCAUUAGCUUUGCUUUUGAAGAUCAGCGGCGGACGGGUGAGUAACACGUGGGCAACCUGCCUGUAAGACUGGGAUAACUUCGGGAAACCGGAGCUAAUACCGGAUAAUCCUUUUCCUCUCAUGAGGAAAAGCUGAAAGACGGUUUCGGCUGUCACUUACAGAUGGGCCCGCGGCGCAUUAGCUAGUUGGUGAGGUAACGGCUCACCAAGGCGACGAUGCGUAGCCGACCUGAGAGGGUGAUCGGCCACACUGGGACUGAGACACGGCCCAGACUCCUACGGGAGGCAGCAGUAGGGAAUCUUCCGCAAUGGACGAAAGUCUGACGGAGCAACGCCGCGUGAGCGAUGAAGGCCUUCGGGUCGUAAGCUCUGUUGUCUAGGGAAGAACAAGUAUCGGAGUAAC